rnacentral:rRNA from 1 species
AAUGAACGUUGGCGGCGUGGCUUAGGCAUGCAAGUCGAGCGAGAACCCCGCAAGGGGGGACAGCGGCGAAAGGGACAGUAAUGUGUAGAUUAUCUGCCCUCAGGUCCGGGAUAGCUGCGGGAAACUGCAGGUAAUACCGGAUAACAUCUCCGGAUCAAAGGUGUGAUUCCGCCUGAGGAUGAGUCUGCAUCCUAUUAGCUAGUUGGUGGGGUAAUGGCCUACCAAGGCAUUGAUGGGUAGCAGGUGUGAGAGCACGACCUGCGUCAUUGGGACUGAGACACUGCCCAGACACCGACGGGUGGCUGCAGUCGAGAAUCUUCGGCAAUGGGCGCAAGCCUGACCGAGCGACGCCGCGUGUGGGAUGAAGGCCUUCGGGUUGUAAACCACUGUCAGAGGGGAUGAAAUGCAGGUGGGUUCUCCCAUCUGUUUGACAUAGCCGCAGAGGAAGGACGGGCUAAGUUCGUG